rnacentral:rRNA from 1 species
GAUGAACGCUGGCGGCGUGCCUAAUACAUGCAAGUCGAGCGAACAGAUGAGGAGCUUGCUCCUCUGACGUUAGCGGCGGACGGGUGAGUAACACGUGGAUAACCUACCUAUAAGACUGGGAUAACUUCGGGAAACCGGAGCUAAUACCGGAUAAUAUAUUGAACCGCAUGGUUCAAUAGUGAAAGACGGUUUUGCUGUCACUUAUAGAUGGAUCCGCGCCGCAUUAGCUAGUUGGUAAGGUAACGGCUUACCAAGGCAACGAUGCGUAGCCGACCUGAGAGGGGGAGCGGCCAACUGGGAAGUGGCACCCGGCCCGGCUGCAUAGGGGGGGCAGAAGGAGGGAAUCUUCCGCAAGGGGCGAAAGCUUGAAGGAGAAAGGCCGGGGGAAGGAAAAAAUGUUUCGGUACGUAAAACCUUUUUUUUAGGGAAAAACAAAAGUGCAAGGAACUAUGACCGUCUGGAAGGCACCGAAUCAGAAAGCCCAGGAGAACUACGU